GCUUUCUCCACCCAGGAGGAAAUGACUCACUCCCCUCACCCUUCAGGCCUAGAGACUAAAAAAAGCAAACAUGGGGAGUUGAGGGAGCCUCACUUCGCUGGCACUGCACUACCUUUCAUGGUGUCCCUACUACACCCUAUCCAUAGCUGUGUAAAUAUUCUCUUUAUUAGUAUUUGCUCAAAUUAGCCAAUGGAGAUGUGUCAUCUGGUCCCUACAGAGAUGCUAACUACUACAUAAGCUGAGAGGAAUGAUCUAAUAAUUGAUGAUGCUAAAGAACUAGAGGGUAAUUAGAGGAGCAAAGUCCUUGAGAAGAUGCCAUAGAAUGGGAUGCAGAACACAAAUGGAAGGAUUGGCCUUUCGUGGGAGCACUGCAAUAGGAGAAAAGGCAGAAGUUGUAGCUUCAGAUGAAGACUGGCUGAAAGAUCUGGUGGUGAGAAGAUGGGGAAGUUCAAGUCUGCAGAGGAAAGAAAGAUGUGAAAGCAGAUAAACCCAUAUGUAUGUAUUGAUCUUAUGUGUUUGAAUAGAAAUAUGCUAAGAAGCAAAUGACUGAAAUAGAAGGAAAAACUGUGUAUUUCAGCUUUUUGAUUCCAUCCAACUCCAAAGAAACAAAGGCUAACUUCUUUACCUUGUGGAGAAAGAUGAAGCCAGCAUUGCAGAGGAACCACAGGAACCAAAUCCUUAAUAAUUAUACUGUAAAUAUGCGUGCCCGUCUCUCAAAGACGCCAAGCAGUAUUUGUGUUAGUUUGCUCAGUGAUCGCAAACGAGAAGCAGCAUCUGCCAAUCUUACGUUUCAAGGUUUACAUCACAGGUGGAAGGUGUGCGUAAUCUGUGGGAAACUACAUAAAUUCAAUCGUUCUCACAAACGAAAAACAUUUUUAUGCUGUGAAAGGAAUCCUUUUUCUGAAACUCGUGCUACAGUUUUCCCAGGUAUUUUCUUGUGUUGUGGUUUACUCUUGCCUCAAAAAUAAAACCCAAAGAAGCAGAAGAAAAGCAGUUUAUGUUCGUGGGUGACAUUUACCCUAUAUGACAGUGCUCCUUUCACUAAGAUUGCAGGCAGCCUUCACAGCGUUAGAUCGAUAUGGAAACUAAUUCAAAUGUUUUUGCGGUUGAAGUCAAAAAGUCAAGUUUAGUGAUACAAAUAAAACAAUGAACUCUAAUUCUAUGCAAAGAGAAGAUAUAUUCUAAUAGGGACACGUCCCAUCCCAUAGUAUGUGGUAUGUAUAAUUUGUACCGUUAAG
rnacentral:lncRNA from 1 species